UGGGGUGUCGCCAAGUGGUAAGGCAACGGGUUUUGAUCCCGUCAUUCGCAGGUUCGAGUCCUGCCACCCCAG
rnacentral:tRNA from 1 species